UACGGAGGAGUCGAGAGUUAUCCGGAAUUAUUGGGCGUAAAGCGUCCGUAGGUGGUUGGCCAAGUCUGCUGUCAAAGGGUGGGGCUUAACCUCAUAAAGGCAGUGGAAACUGGCGAGCUAGAGUGCGGUAGGGGUAGGGGGAAUUCCCAGUGUAGCGGUGAAAUGCGUAGAGAUUGGGAAGAUCAUCGGUGGCGUAAGCGCCCUGCUGGGCCUGCACUGACACUGAGGGACGAAAGCUAGGGGAGCGAAAGGG
rnacentral:rRNA from 1 species